rnacentral:tRNA from 1 species
AUCAUUUAUCGGAGAAGAAGGUGCUCCAUGCU